AGUUAUGCAAUGUGAUUUGUCACGCGUGAUGAUGGAUAUAACAACAUACAAAGGCAUAUGCACACAUCUAUUUCAUGAUGAAAACGUCAGCCUGGAAAGAUGAAAAUGAAACCUGUUAUAGUUGUGUUAGUUUUGCUGGUGUUGGCUUUCUGUGUGGUUUGUGCCAGUUCUCUUCAGAACGUCCAACUGAAAAGACAAGAUAAUGCGGAACGUGAGAAGGGCAGCAGAGGUGCGAUGGUCAGCAGAAGAGGUGGCAUAUUUUCCUUGGGAGGGGGGCCACAUACUAGGCGUCCUCCAAGAAACGGAUAGAUGAUUGUAUUCUGCACUCAUCAAAAUAUGAAUUAAACUCGGAUUUGUUAUAGUCAAAACAAAA